UAGAGUUUGAUCCUGGCUCAGGAUGAACGCUAGCGGCAGGCUUAAUACAUGCAAGUCGUGGGGCAGCACAGGUAGCAAUACUGGGUGGCGACCGGCAAACGGGUGAGGAACAUGUACGCAACCUUCCUUUAACUGGAGAAUAGCCCCUCGAAAGAGGGAUUAAUACUCCGUAACAUUUCGACACAGCAUUGUGAUGAAAUUAUAGCUCCGGCGGUUAAAGAUGGGCGUGCACCUGAUUAGAUAGUUGGCGGGGUAACGGCCCACCAAGUCUGCGAUCAGUAACUGGUGUGAGAGCACGACCAGUCACACGGGCACUGAGACACGGGUCCGACUCCUACGGGAGGCAGCAGUAAGGAAUAUUGGUCAAUGGACGCAAGUCUGAACCAGCCAUGCCGCGUGGAGGAUUAAGGCCCUCUGGGUUGUAAACUCCUUUUAUCUGGGAAGAAAUGUACUUUUUCUUGAGUACUUGACGGUACCAGAGGAAUAAGCACCGGCUAACUCCGUGCCAGCAGCCGCGGUACCCAAUCGCC
rnacentral:rRNA from 1 species